rnacentral:rRNA from 1 species
UGGCUCAGAACGAACGCUGGCGGCGCGUUUAAGCAUGCAAGUCGAGCGGCAAGGGCCUUCGGGCCCCUAGAGCGGCGGACGGGUGAGUAACACGUGGACAAUCUGCCCCCCGGCCCGGGAUAGCCCAGGGAAACCUGGAUUAAUACCGGAUGAGACGGGACCCGCGAUGGCGGGAUCCGGGAAAGGCGCUGCGGCGCCGCCGGGGGAUGAGUCUGCGUCCCAUUAGCUAGACGGCGGGGUAACGGCCCACCGUGGCGACGAUGGGUAGCCGGCCUGAGAGGGUGGACGGCCACAUUGGAACUGAGACACGGUCCAGACUCCUACGGGAGGCAGCAGCUAAGAAUCUUCCGCAAUGGGCGAAAGCCUGACGGAGCGACGCCCGCGUGAACGAAGAAGGCCGUGAGGUUGUAAAGUUCUUUUCGGGAGGGGGAACAACCGUGGCAGGGAAUGGCCGCGGGAUGACGUGAAUCCCGGAAUAAGCCCCGGCUAACUACGUGCCAGCCGCUGC